UAAGAAAUAAGUAAACGGAAUACUACAAACUUUUGAAAUUUAUAUUAAGAGUUCAAAUCUCUUUUUCUUAA
rnacentral:tRNA from 1 species